rnacentral:lncRNA from 1 species
GUUCAUUGUUUGUUUAUUAUUCAGGUACUGGAGCUGGUUUUGGUUGGGCUGGAGUUUUUCCGGGUGGUGCUGGUGGACUUUAUCCUGGUGCAGGAGCUGGUUUAGGUGGUGUUGGAGCAGGUGGUGCUGGCAGACUUUAUCCAGGGGCAGGAGGUGUGGGUGUUUUUACACCAGCUCAAGGUAAAGCAGCGAAAUAUGGUGCUGGUCCUGGAGUUACUGGUAUUGGUGGUGUACCAGGCGCAGGUGGACUCUUUCCUGGGGCAGGGGGUCCUGGUGCGCUCUCCCCUGCUCAGGCAAAAGCUGCUAAAUACGGUGCAGGAGUAGUUCCUGGUGGCGCUCGGAUUGUGCCAGGAGCUGGAGGGGUCUAUCCUGGACCGGGAGGUAAAAAAAAAAAAAUCUGUCUGUCUGUACAAAACAUCUUGAAGAAUAUUAAAACAUUAUAAUGGUCAUCAUAGAGUCUCAAAACCAUUUCUUUCUUUCUAAGGUCUUACUCCUGCCCAAGCAAAAGCUGCUAAAUACGGUAAUCAUAUACUCAUAUUUAGAAUCCUUCUUAUUCAGAUAUAGCAUGGUUCUUCAAUUC